UACGGGGGGGGCAAGCGUUGUUCGGAAUUACUGGGCGUAAAGGGCUCGUAGGUGGCCAACUAAGUCAGACGUGAAAUCCCUCGGCUUAACCGGGGAACUGCGUCUGAUACUGGAUGGCUUGAGUUCGGGAGAGGGAUGCGGAAUUCCAGGUGUAGCGGUGAAAUGUGUAGAUAUCUGGAGGAACACCGGUGGCGAAGGCGGCAUCCUGGACCGACACUGACGCUGAGGAGCGAAAGCCAGGGGAGCAAACGGG
rnacentral:rRNA from 1 species